rnacentral:lncRNA from 1 species
AAGACAAAAGCUAAAAUAUUUUUUGAUUGAUUGAUGAAAUGAUGAACAAUACAAGCACUAUUUAUACUAGAGGAUUUACUAAAUUAGGAACCUACUAGUCAUAGGAAAUUAAGGAAAAAAAUAUUCCAUGACCAAAAAUAUCCCAAAAUAAUCUCCCCCAUUAAAUCAACAAAAUUUUCAGCUAAUUAAAAAUAGGAAAAAUUCUACUUUGGCCCUCCUUCUUUGCUUCUUUCUUUAAUUUGGCCCAAUUGUUCCCUUUUUCUUCUAUUUAGCCCCCAAAUUGCAUUCCUGCACAAAAUUCAAUAAAUAUGGCAAAAUUAGUGGUGCAUUCUUAUAAAUAUACCAAAUUAAUUACAUAAAAUAUGUAAUUUUAGUAUUUAAUCAAUUCCCCCUACUUAGCUUAUGCUAGUCCUCGAGCAUUUUGUAUGUAUCUGCAAAAGGAAAAAUUUUCUCCAAAAUAGGACUUGACACUCAUGGUUUGCACAAUUCAACAAUUCAAUCCUAGCACAUUAACAACUCAAAUAACCUAGCCUAAGAAGUAAGUAAAUAUAUUUUAUGAGAGCUUGAUAGACUUACCUUUCAUUUUAUUAUUUUAUUUAUUUUUGUACUUAGGACAUUAUCGAACUUUUUGACGCGAGACAUGAUGACAACCCAAGCACCAUGUUCCGGUUACUCAAUU